GGCAGAGUCCAGGGAGACCUUGCCUCAUGGCCUCAGGCAGCUGCUGCCAGUCACCCCUGCUUCUAAGCAGAGUUGAGCAGCUGCUUCUGUGCCGAGGGAAGCGUCUGCCUAGCACGGUCGGGGACGGUGGGGGCUGUGCACUUUGAAGAAAGAUGGUACCCUGGUGCCUGAUGCGCUGCUGCCGUCUGGAUUCCGGAUCCUGAGCCAGCUGCAGCCCUCUCUCUCUCUCUCAAACCCUGGACAGGGCUCCUGGGGUGGCUUUUCCCAUCCUUGUUAGGACCGCCAAGGCUCAGUCCCAGCCUUUAGCACUUCCUCUCUUGUUUUUCCCUCGGAUCCUCCCUCAAGCAUCCCCCAGAGGACGUACAGAGACAGGCAUUUGCUAAGAGCUGGGGCUGGGACUUCGACUAGCCUCUGCUCCACAUUUCUGGCUCAUUUUCAAUGAUGCUGUAAUACCUGUUCUCAGAGAAAAGAGACACUGGCACAUUUGGGAAUCAUCUUCCUGCCCGGUCUUCCCUGCCUCUGUCAUUAUGUAGGUAUGCUGGGGUAAGGACUGUAGAACAGAUUCUUAACUUCUUGGACAACACUUCUCAAAAGAUGUACCCUAGGGGCUGGAGAGAUGGCUCUUCUCUGUGGUUAAGGCCACUUGCUGCUCUUACAGAGGACCCAGGUUUAGCUCCCAGCACCCACAUGAUGUAACUCCAGUUCCAGGGCAUCCUAUGCCCUCUUCUGGCCUCCAGAGACAUCAAGCACAUGCAUGGUACACAUACAUUUAUGCAAGAAAUAACUCAGACACACAUUUAAGAAGAAGAUGCAGCCUAAUUCUUCCCUUCUUGAGCAUAGGUGAGUCUUAAUGAUAGUUUCCAAUGAAUAGGAUGUUACAGAAAUGAUACGUUAAUUUUGAGGCCAUAAAAGACAUAGAUAUUGCUGUUAUGUGAUGGGGUCUUUCCAUCAACUCCUGGAGAGACCCACCCAGGCACAGAGAAUCCCUGCCCACAGGCAAUGAGUGACCAUCUUGGAACAAGAUAAUAAGCUUUCAGAUGACUACAAUCAGAGCCAAAACUUUGUGGUCUUGGGAGAGAUCUUCAGCCACAGUCUCUCAGCUCAGCUACUCCCAGAGUCCCAAGCCACAAAAUCUAGCUAAUAAAUGUCUGUCUUAAACCACUAGCCUUUGAGGCUAAAUUACCACGCAGCAGUAGCUAACUGAUAGGAUUUGUACUCUUGAAUGUAUAUAGACAAGGAAAGAGUGGGAUGGUUCUCCCAAGAAAGGGCUCUUCCAUUCCAGAGAAGAAAGGAGAGCUUGGCUCCCCAAUGGGGGUGCUGUCGCUGUGUCUGUCCCCAGAUGGGUACAUUUGAACCUGGUUCCUGGUGUAAUUGUAUGAGGAGGUGGAGGCUUAGGGGGUUGCAGGUCCUUAGGGUGGAGCCCAAUGAACGGGAUCAGUGCACUUACAAAAGGAACCCAGAAGAGCUCUCUAGUCCUCUAGAGGAGGAAAGAAGUGGACAGCCUGCAUCCCAGAAGAGGGCCCUGCCUGUUCUGGACCUUGUCAUCGCUGCUUCUCCUUGCUGUGAUAAAGUAGUGACCGAAGCAGCUUGAGGAUGGCCUUGUUUGGGUCACAGUUCCGCAGGGGCCAUACAUACCCCAUCAUGAAGGGGAAAAUGGGACAGCAGGCGGGGAAGGCGUGGUGGCAGCGCCGAAGGCUGGCUCGUCACAUUGCAUCCACACUCAGGAAGCAGAGCCUGAAGAGGAAGCAGGGCUGAGAUACAAAACUUCAAGCCCUGGCCUGGGUGGCCCACUUCCCCGAGGCUCCACAACUUUCCCAAAGAGUGCUGCUGGCUGUAGACCAGGUGUUUGUCACGUGAUACCUUUACCCUCGAGGGCUUGGCAGCCUUCCCACUGGUAAGAACUAAAUGUUUCUUGUGUGUAAGCCACUGACCCUACGGCAUUUUGUCACAGCAGCACAAACUAAGAUGGUUGACUAUGCCCAUCUUGGGGUCUCACGGUUUCCAGACUUCUCCGUAACUCUCAGGCUGCCCUAGAUGAAUUGUGGGCACGGUUGUUCAGCCCAACUUUAAGUAGCCUCAGAUUAAUUUGUUUAAUCCUCACAACCACCCUGUAAGAUACUCAUAUUAUCCCAGCUCUGUGAGUGAAGAAACCUAGGUACUGAGCGGUUCAGCAACUCUUCAGGCAGACACUUUCCUAAAGGGAAAAAGGCCCUGGGCACAGACAAAGGCUCACUGCGUGAUGUGAUUGAUGCAGACAUUAUUUCACUUAAUCCCAAAUACUACCCAGAGAAGAAUAGAUCAUGGCCUUCUCUUUUAAAGAUAACAAAAGUGAGGCCUGAGGAGGUUACAUGAUUUGCUUGGGUCCCACAGGAAGUGGCUGGUGUGGAUUUCACAGCACCCAGCUCCCUCCUGUUCCCACCAUCCUCUUGCAACUCUCAGCUUCCCGUGUGUGUGUGCCAAAUCCAGAAAAAUCCACAGGGCGCUGGCCAGCUGCCUAAAUGAAAACUGAGGUGACAGUCUUGAAUUCACACGUCCCCAGACACCUGUCAGCAGUUUCCUGCACCCAAGUCCAUGUGCUUCCCUGCCGCCUUAGCUAGAGAGAGGGCAAAGCUGGCUGGGGGGCGGGGCUGGGCAGAGGGUGCUGGGGCAGUGAAGCCAGCCACUGUGAACCCAGAAGCACUUGUUCCUGAACCCUUCUUGAGGACACAUCUGCCCUUAGACCUGGGAUGUCUCAGGAUUCAGAGAUGCCUGAAGAGAAGUCUCAUCUGGCUGUUGGUGGAGAAGCGACCACUCCAGAGGAAGUCUAGCAAGCCCCAGAACAGGCUUAAAUGAGAGGAAUUAUCUGCUUCCUACCAUGUCCACGUGCUCCAUGCAGCCAUGGUACAGCCUCUCUCCAAGCUUUCCUUUCCCCAGCAUAUGACUCACAGACGUCAAGAUGGCUUCCUGUGAGCCAGGAACAGUUAGCUCUCACGAUAGUUCUCUACGGAAACAAUUCAACCCGUGAGACGAGCAAACAUGGCCAUAAUCCAGGGAGAAGACAGCUGUGUGAUUCAGACCUUGAAAGGUUAGGGAUUACCCGGAGAGUGAGUUAGAAAUCUAGGCAGUUCCACCCUGUCUCCUGACCCGCCUGGUGUUCAACUGUUGUGCGCAUUGGACUCUGUUACAGGCUGGGUGAUGGGCAUAGAAUGUUUCUCUUUAGACUUUUGUAACUUUAAAGAUUUUUUGUUGUUAUUGUUUUUGUUUUUCAAGAUAGGGUUUCUCCAUGUAAUAGCUCUGGCUGUUCUGAAACUCACUUUGUAGAUCUGGAUGCCCUCAAACUCACAGAGAUCUGCCUGCCUCUGCCUCCCAAGUGUUGGGAUUAAAGGUGUGGGCCACCACUGCCCAGCAGGUCUAAAGAUUUUUAAAACCAAAAAUUAUAUCCACUUUUCUAUUUAUCAAAAGGCAACUUUUAAAAAUCCAUAGAGCUGGGCGGUGGUGGCGCACACCUUUAAUCCCAGCACUCAGGAGGCAGAGCCAGGCGGAUCUCUGUGAGUUCAAGACCAGCCUGGUCUACAGAUAGAGUUCCAGGACAGACUCCAAAGCUACACAGAGAAACUCGAAAAAACAAAAACAAAAACAAAAAAUCCAUCGUAAGAGUGGGAUACAAUAUUUUCUAUACAUAUACCCAAUAGAAAACUAAUUUCCAAGGCCAGCAAAUUGGCUCAGCAUAUAAAGUUGCUUGCUGACAGCCUGAUGGCCAACUCUUGAAAACUGUCCCCUAGUCUCUACCUCUGCUCCAAGGCACAUGCACCACCCUUCCACACACAAACAUAAUAAAAACUUAUUUCCAUAACAUGUAAAGAUUUACAGAUUAAUAAGAAAUCUAUAUGGAGGAACACAUGUACAUUAUAUAUACACACAUGUGCACACCUUUAAAAAACUCAGCAUACAAAGAAUAAAAACUCUUGGAGACACCUCACAGAAUGUGCACAGACACAGGAAGUAUGCAGUUUUGUUAGUUAUCAGGAGUACACACAGCAGGAGCACAAUGAGAUGCUGCCAGAGACCUAAAAGAAUGUGAUUAAUAAACAGCAAUACCAAGUUCUGUUAAGGACCCAAGUUGAUACAGGGUUCUCCUACGCUUUUGUGGAAGUGUAUACCGGAAAGUUCUACCAGCACUGAAAAUGCAUAUACCGUAUUCCCCAGCAAUUCUGAUCCUGGGUAUAUAUGACUAAGAAAAAAGAAGAUAUAUUUACCAAGAGAUAUGUACUGAAGUGUGAUGGCAGUGUCAUUGGUGAUAGUCCCAAAUGUCCACAAAUCAACGAACCAUAAACUGUGGUACACGUGUGUGAUAUAAUAUUAUGGAGUAGUGAAAAUGGAGAAACCAUCACUAUACAGGACAUGACAGCCCUGCUGAACUUAAACACAGCAACGAGCAGAAUUCAUUUCGAUGACAGAAGCUGAAGAGCAGUCGCCUUAGGGAAGGGACAGAUGACAGGGAAGGGACCAAGGCAACAGCACCUAUAUUAGAUGGGUUCUGAAAAGGCAUGGAGAUAUAGCUCUUUCUCAUAUAUGCUACACUUACAAAAAUGCUCAAUUUCUAAAGUCUUUGGAAGACGGAAAACAGAAAUAAAAGUAUUUUCAUAUUAUAUAAAUCCCUUGGUUUUGAACACAGUCUAUGCAAAGAACUUCUGUAUACAUGUGCUGGGCAGUCCUUUUGUAAGUUUUAUUUUUUCAGUUACCUGUGUGUCUAUGUGGGGAUAUAUGGAUGAGCACCAGGUACUGGAGGAAGCAAGCAGAGGGUGUAGGAGCCUCUGAGGCUGAAAUUAUCAUCAGUUGUGGAUCAAAGGAUGUGGGUGAUGGGAACCAAACUCAGAUCCUCCUUAAGAACCAAGUGUCUCUCCAAUCCUAGAAUAGCCUUUUAAAAAUUGGGUAUGAUGGAAAAUUCCAAAGCUCCUUUAUGGGGCAACAGUGAGGACAACCUAAGCCAGUACCGAAAAGUAAACAGACACAAAAUCAGUGAGGAAACCAACCUCACAGUAUGUGGAUCCAAAAGCAAAACAAAAAUUGAGUUCCCAAGAAAUCAAACUGGGAAGGUGAAAAUGCGUGUUUUAUAAGAUAAUCAAAGCAGCGUGGCCACAAUGACUGCAGAAGGGGCCUUUUCAGAAAGAAAGCCACGGGUUGCUUCGAGGGGCAAGGAUGAGGGGCAGAAAAGAUGACGGCAUAAUGAAAGGGCACGCCAGUGAAUAGAAGAGAACUCCCUUGGACAUGAAAUGCAAUCAAGUCAAGACCCAUAUUUUAUCUCUGCUGGAGGCAGUCUUAUUUGUUAGUAAAGUGCUGGGAUAAUCAACCAUUGUUCUCCCUGCCAGGACUGUCAAAACAAAUACAAGCUUCUUUGCUCAGUGCUAAAAAUGUCUAGCCUUUGGAGAGCAGCUGGGCAGAAAGCAAUCUUGUUCAAUUUCAGUACAUUUUCCCCGAGUAUUAGGCUGUCCGAAUGCAGCCCACAUCAAAACAUCCCCAGCACCCACUGCAGGGACAAAGCUGUCAGGAGAGCACUUCCCAUCAAACUCAAGCAAGCAAGACACACAAUGCAGUCACGAUAAACUCAUCCACCUCCCAUCAAAAGAAGCAAAGACUUUGAAGCAUACAGAGGCUACCCGAAGAAUCAUUCUUUGAGGUCCCUUUGAUAAACAUAAAUUAUACUGUUUCUAGGCUUGCAAAAUGCUAUGUAUUGAUAAGGUUGGUGGCGGGGGGAGCCUUAGAAGUUAUCUAUGACCUUUUGGCUACCAGUACUGUCAUUGCCUCGGGGACAUCUUCUCCUUGGCAUCUGCAGGAUUAGUUUUCCUGCUAGUAAGUCAGUUAUCAUCAAAACCUGUCUGCGUUGCGGCUUGAUGGUUUGUAUGGGUAGGAGGAAUGCCUGAGAGGGUGCAAGUGGUCAGUUUGGGGAUGCAAGUGUCUAAAAGUUACAAAUCAACCCAGUGACUUUAAACAAUAAGGACAUUGGACUUAACAGUCAGGCGAUGCUGCCAAAAGCUCAGGUCCUUUCUGCUACUGGGCCCUCAUCCAAAGUUCCUUAGUGGUGAUGACAUCCGACAUCACUUCCAGCUGAAAAAGAGCCUAGAACUCAGAACCGUCCUGGGAGCAUCUUCUCAUUAGGAAGGAAAAUCUAUUUGCAGAGGGCCUCUCAGCAGACUGAUCCCCAUCAGGAUCAGAAGUGAGUCAUAUGCCUGUGUCUACAGCAAUCACUAUAGAAAGGCAAACAAGGUCACACAAUGAACACUGAAGUAACUCAUUCUUUUUUCUUCCUAUGCUGGGGGUUGAACCUAUGGGCUUGUACAUGCUAGGUAAGUGCUCUAACCCCAAGCCACAUCCUCAGCCCUGAGUUAUUCACAUCUAAACCUUGUGAUGAGGUCCUUUUUCUAUGACUGAGAUGGAGAAGGAAAGGGCACCCAUGUGUGAAUGUUGUCAGCUAGUAAAGGAGAGCAAUGCCGUUUUGCAAGCAGUCGUUUCUGUCUUCUACACAACUAGGAUACAGGAUAAAACAAGUCUGAGUAAAUGGAACCCUGGGCUUCACCGUGGCAUAUGCAAAAUUUCUUCUAGAUUUCAACCGUGGUGGUUAAAAAUUACUCUGACAUUUAUUAGUUUACCGUUUCUACUCUUAUGCAGAGUGAAAUGGUAUCUCUGGUAUCUAAGGACAUGCCCUGCCUCAUGCCCUUAGAAAACUCGUCUUUUAUUCCAACGCCCAGAAUCUCCCAAGUCAGCUCCCACAGCCGUGUGUGCAGUGUGAUCAGCGUCCUGGCCAAGAUGGACAGUGGAGUGUGGCUGGGCCAAUCAGCUUCUCUUCUUGAGAAAUUUGCAAGGCAGCCGAGCCUUGGUGAGCACAUUGAUUUGGAUAAAGUCACGUGGCUAGGAAGACGUGAAGGAAGGUUGUACACCCACGUUUGGCUGUCUCAACAUCUGACGACAUCCUGCUGUUAUUUGGGGAGACAAGACGCUUUGAAGGGGUGGAUCUGGACCCAAUCGUUGCAGUGGUCAUCCAUAUAAACCCUUCAGCUAAGCCUAGAGCCUUACCUGCAUCUGUCUGUCAACAAGAGGAUGAACACCUACAUCAUCUCUGAGGUGUCCCAUGGGUAUAGUCUCAAUGUCCAACUUCAGAAGGUUCUUCACGGCUGAACACAAUGGUCAGCAGAACUCUCAAAACCUGAGUUCUUCUUCCAUUAGAUUUACACCCUACGAGGCUGGAGACUUCAUAGUCUCUGUUCUUUACUGUGUCUCUGUCUAGACCUAGGAUGCAGAGAUUUGUUUGCUGAGUGAACAAAUGGAUAAACAGGUCAAAUCAGCCUUAGCUUAAACUGCAGAGAGAACUCCAGCCUCACGGUCCAGUCUAGCCCUCAGGGGAGAUCCACAGGGAAGCUCAGAUGGGGGUUCCUUCCUGCAGCCUUCUUGGGUCUCCAUUCUGGAACUCCUGGAAGUCAGCCACCCCUACCCGCAUGGCUGUAAAAACAAUGUGUAGUCUAAAUGGGUUUUGUGGAGAAGAAACUAAGUUUCUUUAAAUAACAAACAAGACAGUACCUGGAGAGAUGAUGGCUCAGCAGGUAAGAGCACUUGUUGCUCUUUCUGGGAGCUGAAGUUGGGUUUCUAAGACCAACAUCCUGCAACUCCAAAUUGCCUACAACUCCAGUUCAAGGGGAUCUGAUGCCCUCUUCUGACCUCUGAGAGAACCUGAACAUAUCACACACACAUACACACACACACACACACACACACACACACACACACACCACUAUAUAUGAUAUAUAUCAUAUAUAGUAUACUAUAUAGUAUAUAUAUGAUAUAUAGUAUACUAUAUAUGAUAUAUAUCUCAUAUAUAUAUAUCCUCUAUUAAAAAUAAAACAUUCUGGGCAUGGUGGUGAAUGCCUUUAAUUCCAACAUUUGGGAGGCAGAGGCAGGUGGAUCUCUAUCAGCUCAAAACCAACCUGGUCUACAAAGUGAGUUCCAGGACAGCCAGGGCUGUUAUACAGAGAAACCAUGUCUUGAAAAAACAAAAAUAAACACUAUUAUUUAUGAAACAGGUAGUUUACUAAAUGAAACAUUUUCAGCAUAUAGAUGGUCUUUGAAAUGGACCAGAUAAGUUGCUCGCAUUGAAUGAAAUUGAGAGAUUAUCUGGACCCAUGCGCAUGUGAGGUCUGCAGUUUUCAUGGCCCUGAGCUACUGCACAAGGUUGUUAGUUGUGGCUAACGGAUGUGUACCAAUGCUAGUGCUUAUUUUUGAUAGACAUAUGCUAUCAUUUUCCAUUGUUGCCUAGCAAACUACUACAAAUUUACCAUCUUGAUAGAAUGUAGAUGCAUUACCUUGUACUUUUUGUGGGUCAGGCACUUGGGUAUGCAUUAACUGAAUCUUCUUCUCAGUGUUAGUUGGAGGUAAAUGGCUACCCCUCACUACUGUCUUGUCUGGACUGAGAUUCUGAGGCAGGCAAGCAUCCUGAGACUCCACUUGGCUUGGGCUAUACACACAUCUUUUCUAAUAAUGCACCUAGCAGCCUGAUGGCAAACUGUGACUCUCCCCCCACUUGCAUGGAUCUGCAGGUACACCCUACUCCAAACAAUGGAAUAAGUUUGCCCUACCUUUGAAAAUGAUCAAAAAAUGUCCCUUAUGGAUAGUUUUUAUUCAAAUAUAUUUCAUAACCUCACCAGGUACAGAAGGUGGGGGCUGACUCCACCUAGACUGAUUUGGGGUGCAUGCUCAGCAAGGCAAACUUGAGAAAACUUCUAAGGGAAACCCCUAUUCCUAUGCAUAAUUGGGCAUGCACAUGAUUAAAAUAAGGUGCAUGAUGGGAAGGGACAUUACCAGUGACCAAAGGCUUACAUAAUCCAAGCCUGUCAAUCAAAACAGAGAACCACCUAUUUUACACUCUUCAGCAAUAAAACUAUGUGUACUCUUGAAUUCUGUAAAAUGAAACCCUGAACAAUGUUGGGACCCUUGAGCACUGUCACUCACAUGUUCCCCAGUCAUGCGUGAUAAUGCAUUUCUUCUUCAUCUACACCUCAGCUUUGAUUGUUCUGGUCUGGCUGCUUUGCCCUUGGUGUGUACCUAGAACCCGGAAACCCCCAGCCUAGACUUCGACCACCAGUAACAGUUCCUUGUCCAAGUUCACAGCCCUGGGUAGACUGAACAUUGGAGCUGUAGGAUUGAGGUCCAUGCUUUCUUGCUGGCUGUUGGCUGUGGGUUGUUCUAGCCUUGGCUUGUAUUCCCCUCCAUGCCCCCUCCAAUCUUCUUUUUUAAAUGUGUAUGUGUGGAGGGAGAUAUAUGUAUGUAUGAGUGUGGGUGCCCAUGGCAUCCAGAAGAGGGUGUCAGAUCCCCUGGAGGUUACAGGCAGUUGUGAGGUGGGUACUAGGAACGGAACUCCAGGUCCUCUGCAAGAGCAGCCACUGGGCCAGCUCUUCAGUUCCCUUCCCCCCUCUGCUUUUAACAGCCUGCUCCUCAAAGGCCAGGGCCAGCUUUUCUAUUCCAAAUCUCUCCCUUUAAGGGUUUGCUUGAUUAGCUCGGACCUAUUUGAGAUAAGCUCCUUUUGAUUACUCUGUCCCAAAGAUUUAAUUACAGCGGCUAAAUCCCUUCACCUGUGUCCUCUACUGUCACCUAAUCAUAACAAUGAGAUCCAUUGUCUCCAUAGUGGGGGCAUAUUCCAGGGGAGGAACUCUGUAGAGCUGCACACUGGAAGAAGAAUCUGCAUCACAUUUAAAUGAACUUUGGAAACCUCCCACCCCCACUCUCCUCUGAAAGGCUUUGCGUCUAUUAGAGAAAGCUGAUGUCCAUGUUCUUGUUAGCUUGCCUGUGUACCUAUUUACUCUCUGAAUUCACCUUGAACUUUCAGAACACUGGGCUUGUUCCCUCAUUAAGUUAAAUAAACUCUUGACGUUUUUGUACAAUUUGCAUUUUUUAUGAGUUAUAAUUUUACUUUUUAGAAAUGCCACCCUUUAACAUCAACGUUUUUGUUGUUGUUUUUGAAGACAGGGUUCCUCUGUGAAACAAUCCUGGCUGUCCUGGGACUCACUCUGUAGGCCAGGCUGGCCUCAAACUCAGAGAGAUCUGCCUGCUUCGGCCUCCCGAGUGCUGGGAUUAAAGGCAUGUGCCACCACCACCUGGAAACAUCAACUUUUAUAUGAAUAUUUAUCUCAUAAUUUUUCUUACAAAGAAUGGAUCUGUUGCUUACUUUUUGAUGUGCACAGCUCAGGGCUUUCCCAUAAAUUGCUCCAAAGAAGAAUUUUGCUUAUAGCUCUCGAGCCCUCCUGCUUUUUGCUGCUUGGAAGCGACGAGGAUGCUGGUUUCCACUGGUCUCCUCUUCGACAGCUUGAUGCUGACACCCAGGAACACAUACACACUAUAGUCUUCCAGUUAGAGCGCCUUAAACAAUAGCUCUGCCUCGCCAGCCCUGGAUUAAUUUUCUUUGUUACAAACAAAAGGCAUUAAAGGUUCCUGCUGACAUUUUCUCUUAGAAUGCUGGCAUUACAGGAUUUUGUAACUGGAAUGGGUAUGGAGUUUUUCUACUCUCCACAUUCUAAAUAAUGCCCUUUUGGGGGGCGCUAACAGUGCCUUCAUAGAAACAAGUGUCAAUAAAAUUAGGUGUUGUUAACCUGUGCUGGGCACAGUGCCUGGCCCACUCUGGUCUGUAGUCAAUGUUUCUGUCUUCUCCACAGCCAGAGUGAAGCAGGAAGGGAAAGGGGGCACGAAAGGAGUUCACGGUGUCUCAGCCUCCAUUCUCAGCCAAGCUCUUUGAAGGCAGGGCUAGGUUUCCACAGUGAAGACAGCUCAUGUGCAGCCCACUCAUGAUCGCUUUCCUAAGCAAAGGAAAAUCUUGCUCCUUCCAGAGAAGCAAAUGAAAGCUUAAUACCAGUUAAAUAAUACAUAAUAGUAAGAUCGUUAUCCUGUCUUCUCCCAGUCGGCUAACUUCGUAAUGUGUAAAUGCUUAUGGGGUGUAUGAAAUCAAAGGACAUAAACUGCUCUAAAGGGGGAAGGAACGGAUCUGAUCAGACAGCCUGCCUGUAGCACACAAACCACAGAAACUGCCUUCUGCACACCACACCACCCCCACCCCUUUUCCAUUUAGGAGCCAGGUUAACAGACCGAACAACAUCCUUUCCUGUCCAAGUUUAAAGGUGAGCUUCUGAUCCUUAUACCUAUUUCUCCCACCUCACCUCCCAGCCUGCCCCACGCCUCGCUCUCAGAUAUCCUGGGAAAAGCACAGGCUGCACCUUCACAGCUUUCUCCAAAGCCAUUAGCAAAUAUUGAGCAUGUUUCUGCAAGGUGUUCCCGGGAGAGACAGGAGAUCUACAGGCCUUUCUCUGUUUCUCAUUACUACCUGUGAAGAAUAAGACACCAAGCUGAUGUAGAAAAGGUGUUAAGGAGGGACUGGUGUGGGAGUGGGGAUGGGGAAUGGGUUUUGCAAACUCUAAAAGGCAAUCAAGUGGAGGUAUGCAAAUCUUCCACAUUGCUUCCGAAUUCUUCGUGGUCAUCUGCAGCCAGCUCUAUCGGUUAUGAUCAGGUAAUUUAUUUGUUAGUGUUUCUGCUAAUGGAUAUUUUAGGACCAUCUUCUGCUCUUAUUGUGUCGAGCACCCAUUGACCAGAUCAUUGGCUUAUUGGUUAUCUACUUUGCUGCUAAAUGAUUCUCGAUGAUUGCUUUCUUCCUUACCCGUUCUUAUUCCAGGAGCAGCUUCGAUUGCGCCCCAUUACACUAAUGGAAUUAUUGACAUGGAAAUUGCCAGGCACUGAGCUCAGGAAUUCCAAGACACACAACCACACUGCCUUUCUUCAAGAUGUAGAUGCUCCUGAAUAAUGAGCAGUAAAUAUUGACAUGUUGGUGAAAUUAGUUAAUUGAUGUAAAUCAAAGAGAAAGAACCAGAAACAUCUUCAGGAAGGAAACACAAAAUAUUUUUGCAUAACUGUGUCUACUUUGGUAGAAAUGGCUACAGUGAGCUUUGUGUUUAACAGUUUCCGUUGAAUACUGCUUAGAAACUUUAAACACAGUGGUGUUUCUAUUUAGUGCUGUGAAAAGCUGGGCAGCAGGUAGAAAAGGUAGCCUAGGCUGGCUCCUCCAGUCCGUGUA